UACGGAGGGUGCGAGCGUUGUCCGGAAUCAUUGGGCGUAAAGCGCGUGUAGGCGGCUUGGUAAGUCUGCUCUGAAAGCCCGGGGCUCAACCCCGGGAGGCGGGUGGAUACUGUCAAGCUCGAGUCCGGAAGAGGAGCGUGGAAUUCCUGGUGUAGCGGUGAAAUGCGCAGAUAUCAGGAGGAACACCAAUGGCGAAGGCAGCACUCUGGGACGUUACUGACACUGAGGCGCGAAAGCGUGGGGAGCGAACAGG
rnacentral:rRNA from 1 species